GCAUAUCAAUAAGCGGAGGAAAAGAAACCAACAGGGAUUGCCCUAGUAACGGCGAAGUGAAGCGGCAACAGCUCAAAUUUGAAAUCUGGCGCAAGCCCGAGUUGUAAUUUGUAGAGGAUGUUUCUGGCGACGUGCCUUCCGAGUUCCCUGGAACGGGACGCCAUAGAGGGUGAGAGCCCCGUACGGUUGGAUGCCUAGCCUCUGUGAAACUCCUUCGACGAGUCGAGUAGUUUGGGAAUGCUGCUCUAAAUGGGAGGUAUACGUCUUCUAAAGCUAAAUACCGGCCAGAGACCGAUAGCGCACAAGUAGAGUGAUCGAAAGAUGAAAAGCACUUUGAAAAGAGGGUUAAAAAGUACGUGAAAUUGUUGAAAGGGAAGCGUUCAUGACCAGACUUGGGCAGGUUGAUCAUCCGUGGUUCUCCGCGGUGCACUCUGCCUGCCCAGGCCAGCAUCAGUUCGCCCCGGGGGAUAAAGGCUUUGGGAAUGUGGCUCCCUCGGGAGUGUUAUAGCCCACUGUGUAAUACCCUGGGGUGGACUGAGGUUCGCGCUCUGCAAGGAUGCUGGCGUAAUGGUCAUCAACGACCCGUCUUGAAACACGGACCAAGGAGUCGUCUUCGUAUGCGAGUGUUCGGGUGUCAAACCCCUACGCGUAAUGAAAGUGAACGUAGGAGAGAGCUUCGGCGCAUCUCCGACCGAUCCUGAUGUUCUCGGAUGGAUUUGAGUAAGAGCAUACGGGGCCGGACCCGAAAGAAGGUGAACUAUGCCUGUAUAGGGUGAAGCCAGAGGAAACUCUGGUGGAGGCUCGCAGCGGUUCUGACGUGCAAAUCGAUCGUCAAAUAUGGGCAUGGGGGGCGAAAGACUAAUCGAACCUUCUAGUAGCUGGUUUCCGCCGA
rnacentral:rRNA from 1 species